UUUUUCUUUUUACAUAAAUUUAACAAGUUUCGCUGGGGAACAGCGGAGGAUCAUUAGCGAGGUAUAACUCUCUAAACCAUUGGUGAACGAACGAACCGGUUUGCUUCGGCGGACGGCUCUGCUGCCGCCGGAAGAACGCAAACUCUUGUUAUUAUUGUUUCUCUGAGUACUUAUUCAAUAAGUAAAAACUUUCAACAACGGAUCUCUUGGUUCUGGCAUCGAUGAAGAACGCAGCGAAAUGCGAUAAGUAAUGUGAAUUGCAGAAUUCAGUGAAUCAUCGAAUCUUUGAACGCACAUUGCGCCCGCCAGUAUUCUGGCGGGCAUGCCUGUUCGAGCGUCAUUUCAACCAUCAAGCCCCAGGCUUGUGUUGGGGGCCUGCAGCUGCUGCAGCCCCCUAAAAGCAGUGGCGGACUCGCUGUCAUUCCGAGCGCAGUAGUUACAUCUCGCUCUGGGCGUGGCGGCGGGCACCUGCCGUGAAACACUCUUUCUAAGGUUGACCUCGGAUCAGGUAGGAAUACCCGCUGAACUUAAGCAUAUCAAUAAGCGGAGGAAAAGAAACCAACAGGGAUUGCCCUAGUAACGGCGAGUGAAGCGGCAACAGCUCAAAUUUGAAAUCUGGCUUCGGCCCGAGUUGUAAUUUGUAGAGGAAGCUUCUGGCGCGGUGCCAUCCGAGUCCCCUGGAACGGGGCGCCAUAGAGGGUGAGAGCCCCGUAUGGAUGGAUGCCUAGCCUGUGUGAAGCUCCUUCGACGAGUCGAGUAGUUUGGGAAUGCUGCUCAAAAUGGGAGGUAAAUUCCUUCUAAAGCUAAAUAUUGGCCAGAGACCGGAUAGCGCACAAGUAGAGUGAUCGAAAGAUGAAAAAGCACUUUGAAAAGAGGGUUUAAACAGCACGUGAAAUUUGUUGAAAGGGAAGCGCUUGUGAACCAGACUUGCGCCAGGCUGAUCAUCCGGUGUUCUCAACCGGUGCACUCUGCCUGGCACAGGCCAGCAUCAGUUUUGGCGGGGGGAUAAAGGGCGCCAGGAACGUAGCUCCUUCGGGAGUGUUAUAGCCUGUGUCGUAAUGCCCUCGCCGGGACUGAGGACCGCGCAUUUCGAAGAUGCGCAGUGGGAUGGUCAUCACGACCGUCUGAAACGAAAAA
rnacentral:rRNA from 1 species